GACGGAAGGUGCAAGCGUUGCUCGGAAUCACUGGGCGUAAAGGGUGCGUAGGCGGCCGUGUAAGUCUGGCGUGAAAGCCCCGGGCUCAGCCCGGGAAGUGCGCUCGAAACUGCGCGGCUCGAGUGCCGGAGGGGAGAGUGGAAUUCCUGGUGUAGCGGUGAAAUGCGUAGAUAUCAGGAGGAAUACCGGUGGCGAAAGCGGCAUCCUGGACCGACAUUGACGCUGAGGAGCGAAAGCUAGGGGAGCAAACGGG
rnacentral:rRNA from 1 species